rnacentral:snRNA from 1 species
AUCGCUUCUCGGCCUUUUGGCUAAGAUCAAGUGUAGUAUCUGUUCUUAUCAGUUUAAUAUCUGAUACGUCCCCCAUCGGGGGACUACAUAUUAAAUGGAUUUUUCGAACAGGGAGUCGGAAAAUGGGGCUUGCUCCGUCCGCUCCACGCAUCGACCCGGUAUUGCAGUACCUCCGGGAACGGUGCAACACUU